GCCGGGUAUGGUGGCACAUGCCUGUAAUCCCAGCUACUUGGGAGGCUGAGGCGGGAGAAUUGCUUGAACCUGGGAGAUGGAGGUUGCAGUGAGCCGAGGGCGCCACUGCACUCCAGCCUAGGCAACAGAGCAAGACUCUGUCUCAA
rnacentral:SRP_RNA from 1 species